rnacentral:rRNA from 1 species
UACGUAGGAGGCGAGCGUUGUCCGGAUUUACUGGGCGUAAAGCGCGCGCAGGCGGCACUUCAAGUAAGGUGUGAAAUCUCCCUGCUCAACGGGGAGGGUGCACUUUAGACUGAGGAGCUAGAGGACGGUAGAGGGGGGUGGAAUUGCUGGUGUAGCGGUGAAAUGCGCAGAUAAUCGGGAGGAACACCAAUGGCGAAGGCAGCUCGCUGGGACGUUACUGACGCUGAGACGCGAAAGCGUGGGGAGCAAACAGG